rnacentral:rRNA from 1 species
CCUACGAGUGGCAGCAGUGAGGAAUAUUGGUCAAUGGACGCAAGUCUGAACCAGCCAUGCCGCGUGCAGGAAGACGGCUCUAUGAGUUGUAAACUGCUUUUGUACGAGGGUAAACGCAGAUACGCGUAUCUGUCUGAAAGGAUCGUACGAAUAAGGAUCGGCUAACUCCGUGCCAGCAGCAGCGGUAAUACGGAGGAUGCAAGCGUUAUCCGGAUUGAUUGGGUUUAAAGGGUGCGUAGGCGGUCGGUUAAGUUAGAGGUGAAAUCCCUGGGCUCAACUUCGGAAUUGCCUGUGAUACUGGUCGGCUAGAGAGUAGUUGCGGUAGGCGGAAUGUAUGGUGUAGCAGUGAAAUGCUUAGAGAUCAUACAGAACACCGAUUGCGAAGGCAGCUUACCAAGCUACUUCUGACGUUGAGGCACGAAAGCGUGGGGAGCAAACAGGAUUAGAUACCCGUGUAGUC